rnacentral:lncRNA from 1 species
UCGAGCCUUAGAAAGUCACCAUAGCACUUUCCUGUCCCUUUUUAGUGAUCUUUUCUUUCCCAGGCUGGAGGACCAUGGGGUGAAGGGCAGUGUCCUGGAAGAAGGUGGAUUUGCUAUGGAGCUUCACUAGCAAAGCAGGAAGCAGACCAUGCUGAGGGUGCUUUGCAGGCUGUGAUGAGCUCUGCAGCAGAUGAGCGGUUGUCUUCAUACAGCGCUCUGAGGGUCAGAGGCGGGGUGCUGCAGCAGGCUUUGUCCUGCUGGUAAAUGGAAAAGCACCAUUUGCCCAGUUGAUGAGAAUGUCCUGUGCUUGCCCUUUGUGACAGCCGAGAACCCCAGGGAUGGUAUAGCUCUAUGUAGAGAGGCAGCAGGGGGUCGUGGGUAGGUCCUAGAUUGGGUGGAGAAGUUGAGUAUGAUUUGAGUGUCAUACUCAGCUCUGCCAAAUUCAAACCUCUAGCCUGGGAGCAGGAGAGGAGAGACCUGUUCCCAGCGGUGAUUUCAAUGAGUGACCCUG